AGGAGAAGUUCUGCAGGACUCUGACAACACCAAGUUUCAUGUUCAUGAUAGCAAACCUCAUGCCAAAACAGUUUCGGGGUCCAAUUCCAAAAAGCAGAAUGCUGCCUUAUGCAGAUCUGCAAUGAAUCCUUGGAGAGGAGAGUUAUUUGUCUUCCCACUCUUCCCUGUAUUAAAACCCAGUGACAACACAGCUAACAGGGAGCUAACGAGCAUAGCGAACUUCUGUAUCUUCAAGGAAAUACAGUUAAUGCAUCAAUCAAGGUUGGACCAG